UGGCUCAGAACGAACGCUGGCGGCAGGCCUAACACAUGCAAGUCGAACGAGAACGGCACUUCGGUGCUUAGUAGAGUGGCGCACGGGUGAGUAACGCGUGGGAAUCUACCUGAUAGUACGGAAUAGCCCCGGGAAACUGGGAUUAAUACCGUAUGCGCCCUACGGGGGAAAGAUUUAUCGCUAUCAGAUGAGCCCGCGUGACAUUAGCUAGUUGGUGAGGUAACGGCUUACCAAGGCUACGAUGUCUAGCUGGUCUAAGAGGAUGAUCAGCCACACUGGAACUGAGACACGGUCCAGACUCCUACGGGAGGCAGCAGUGGGGAAUAUUGGGCAAUGGGCGAAAGCCUGACCCAGCCAUGCCGCGUGAGUGAUGAAGGCCCUAGGGUUGUAAAGCUCUUUCACUAGUGAGGAUAAUGACGGUAACUAGAGAAGAAACCCCGGCUAACUCCGUGCCAGCAGCCGCGGUAAUACGGAGGGGGUUAGCGUUGUUCGGAAUUACUGGGCGUAAAGCGCACGUAGGCGGAUUAUUAAGUUAGAGGUGAAAUCCCGGGGCUCAACCCCGGAACUGCCUUUAAUACUGGUAGUCUAGAGUUCGAGAGAGGUGAGUGGAAUUCCGAGUGUAGAGGUGAAAUUCGUAGAUAUUCGGAGGAACACCAGUGGCGAAGGCGGCUCACUGGCUCGAUACUGACGCUGAGGUGCGAAAGUGUGGAGAGCAAACAGGAUUAGAUACCCUGGUAGUCCACACCGUAAACGAUGAAUGCCAGACGUCAGGCUGCUUGCAGCUUGGUGUCACACCUAACGGAUUAAGCAUUCCGCCUGGGGAGUACGGUCGCAGAUUAAAACUCAAA
rnacentral:rRNA from 1 species